rnacentral:rRNA from 1 species
UACGUAGGGCGCAAGCGUUAUCCGGAAUUAUUGGGCGUAAAGAGCUCGUAGGUGGUUUGUCGCGUUGUUCGUGAAAUGCCACAGCUUAACUGUGGGCGUGCGGGCGAUACGGGCAGACUGGAGUACUGCAGGGGAGACUGGAAUUCCUGGUGUAGCGGUGGAAUGCGCAGAUAUCAGGAGGAACACCGGUGGCGAAGGCGGGUCUCUGGGCAGUAACUGACGCUGAGGAGCGAAAGCGUGGGGAGCGAACAGG